CUUCCAGACAGCGCUGCUGCUGCGCUCCCAGACCCGGCGGCGGCUCCACUCUGCAUAGCGCUGCCGCUGCUCUCAUCGGUACAGUCAGUCCCAGCAGCUUCUUUCUCUGGCAAUGUGUAUGGGAUGACAUGCCGUGACUGCCGCUGAAGUGAAGUAGGGCCACGAAGAGGAGCAGGCUCUUUGCAUGCUGAAGACAAAAUGAGAGGGGGCUGGAGGGACACAGAGGCAGGGAAGCUGUUGGAAGUACACAGGACAUGGAGCUGCUAGAGGGACCCAGACGAACAAAGACAACCUAAUGGAAGGCGAAAACAUGACAUGACCAAAUAUAUCCAGGGAAAAUGGAUAGCAAAUAAAUUUGUGUAAUGCAAUCUUAUCAAGAGCAUGCAGACAAGCCUUCCCUCAAUCCAUUGCUUUUAUGCCAAAGUCAAGUCUGGAACUGUAAUGAAAAUUUAAUUGACGUCCUCUUAUUUGGCAUUGGAUAGCGUAUGUGAAAACAAAAUGAAAAAUGUGACUGUAACCAGCUUUGCUUAAAGUCAAACAGUAUCCCGCAAGGAAUGGAGCCAUCUCUGUUUUCUGUAAUCAUUUGUGACACUGGAAUAUCAUACUACUCUGAAAUCUGUACAACACAUUGAAAAAUGGAGCAUCUGAGAAAACUAUAAAAAGCUUUAUUUUAGUCCUUUAACAAAUGUGUCUGUUUGUCAUUGAAGGCAAAAACAAGAGGAGGCAUUUACGCUGCAAUUAAGAUCGGGCAACAGAAAUCAGGACACCCAUGUGGACAAGUUUUUAGUCUAUAAUUUCCACUCAUUUCUUCCGUCUGGGUGCCAGGGGAAGUAAAAUAACUUUUUACCAGUAAUACUGUUAAUGUAAGUGCAACAGAAUUCUACAUUCUGGCUACAGGAACAUUCCGAGUUGUGGAUUUGUAUGGAGAAAAAAAAACAUUCCAUUAGAAAACCAAAGCACAAAAACAAAUUGUUGCAUAGUUUAUUUGUUCAAAACAUAUCUAUAAUGGGUAGUAAUGUUACACAUAAGAAUGUCAAUGAUUUUUUUUGUGACAACACCUAACCUAUUCUAGCAUUGGGUUUAGUGGAUAGGCAAUACUUAGUUUAAAUGGGUUGGGUUUGGGUGACCUGCGUUUGUCACCAUUUGUCAUACUGAUAAGCUUUAACAGUUUGUGGGCCAUAAUUAUUAAACUGUGAAAAUCCCUAUUUCCAAUAGUUGUUUGUACGACUAACCCUCUCUUAUCCAGCAAAUGACCAACACUUAUCUAUCCAGCUAAUGUCCAUCACCAGAAGUUGCAGAUACUGGGCUGAGUAUGUAACAUUCCUUGGGUAAACCACAAGAUGCUGGUGGCUAUGCAAUGCAGAGAUUAAAUUGGAGUAGAGACCUUUUUGGGGCUCAAUUCUUGGUUGGACACUGCAGCGCCUGUAUGUGUGUCUUUUUCCAGUAUUACUUCUGCAAAUACCGCUGCAAGCCCUUUCCUGGUGUACAAGUGUAAGGCCAGGUACACAUUAGGCGUUAUAUUGGAUGAUAUACUGUAUCUUUCCGAAGUGAACUAUAUGUCCAGUGUCGGACUGGGGCAUGAAGGGCCCACCGGGGGGAUGCUGUUCUAGGGGCCCAUGCUUAAGGGUGUUGCCAGACUCCAGUGGGGCAUGGACAGCCACCACUGAGGUUUGUUUAACCAUUACAGAGUACAUGUUCUGUGCCCCUUGGUAAAUAUAUAAUAAACCAUAUUCUUGUGAAGUAUAAUGUAACACAUGUAUAAUGCAUAAUUGAAGUGCACUAGGAUAGAGUCUGGAACCUGAUCCCCAGAGGAGGAGGAGGGCCCACAGGCAGUGGGGCCCACCGGUGGUUUACCCUGUGGGCCAGUCCGGCCCUGUAUAUGUCAUCCAUAUUGCACAGUGUGUACGCUCAAUUGCACGUUCGUCAUUAGCGGGGUCGACCCAUCUGACGUGCUGCACAUCAGAUGGGACGACCCUGCUGACGACCGCAUGCAGAUGGAUGCGGGAUGUACCACUAUGUUGCGCAGUCAUACACUGAAUCAUGCAGUGUGUAAGGCUGUGCAAUAUUUUGCUACAUCGGCCGUGCUAUUGGCUAAAAAAACACAUUGUCCUAGUAUGUGUCCCACCUAAGUCUGAAUGUGCAACGACUGAGAUGCCCACUAUCAGUGUCCUUAGACACUCCAAUACCACUUGCUGCAUCUUUAGAUGCAACCAUCAGUCUCACCAACAAAACAACAAAAGCAAACAGGUCUUACUGAAAGAUACAGUAUGUUUUAAUGAAAAAUAAUGUAAACAAGUAUUCUCCCAGAUAUGCUUUCACAUAUAUAUUGUUUCCUUCUAAAAUCUGGAAAAAAUCAUAUCGAAUGGACAAUAUUUGGGCCUGUUGUGAAUU